UACGUAGGUGGCGAGCGUUAUCCGGAAUUAUUGGGCGUAAAGAGCGCGCAGGUGGUUGAUUAAGUCUGACGUGAAAGCCCACGGCUUAACCGUGGAGGGUCAUUGGAAACUGGUCGACUUGAGUGCAGAAGAGGGAAGUGGAAUUCCAUGUGUAGCGGUGAAAUGCGUAGAGAUAUGGAGGAACACCAGUGGCGAAGGCGGCUUCCUGGUCUGUAACUGACACUGAGGCGCGAAAGCGUGGGGAGCAAACAGGAUUAGAUACCCCGGUAGU
rnacentral:rRNA from 1 species